rnacentral:rRNA from 1 species
AGAGCGAACGCUGGCGGCAGGCCUAACACAUGCAAGUCGAACGGACCCUUCGGGGUUAGUGGCGGACGGGUGAGUAACACGUGGGAACGUGCCUUUUGGUUCGGAAUAGCUCCUGGAAACGGGUGGUAAUGCCGAAUGUGCCCUUCGGGGGAAAGAUUUAUCGCCAUUAGAGCGGCCCGCGUCUGAUUAGCUAGUUGGUGAGGUAAUGGCUCACCAAGGCGACGAUCAGUAACUGGUCUGAGAGGAUGACCAGCCACAUUGGGACUGAGACACGGCCCAAACUCCUACGGGAGGCAGCAGUGGGGAAUCUUGCGCAAUGGGCGAAAGCCUGACGCAGCCAUGCCGCGUGAAUGAUGAAGGUCUUAGGGUUGUAAAAUUCUUUCACCGGGACGAUAAUGACGGUACCGGAGAAGAAGCCCGGCUAACUCGUGCCAGCAGCCGC